UUUUAGAGGGAACUCAGUAUGUCUCAAUCUGCACUUCACUCAAAGCCUCUGGGUACCGGCCACUCACUGGUUCUGGCUCCAAAAUAACUCAGCAGAAACGAGUUUCCAACUAAAAAUCCCCUCGAAUGUCUCCCAGGGAAGAAAUAUAGCUCCUAUAAUUAAAGGAGGCAACGGCCGGAGGGGGAAUGCAGCCAGCAGCCAAAAAAAAAAGAGUGGUGACUGAAGAGUUGCUGGAACGAUCAAGCAAUGAAAAAGAUGCCCCACAGAAAGUGAUCUGCCUUUAUUCUACUUUGCUUAUCGAGACAGUAAAAAAGAAAGCCAAACAGGGACCUGCGCGGAAACGCACAGAUUCAAUUUUGAGGAAUUUUCAGCUAGAGGAACCCAAGACCUUCUAUACCAACAAUUUCUGGGGAGGUAGUUGGUAAGGGAGGGGACAAAACUAGGUGAACAUUUCAUAAGAACAGUAGCAAAGGUGAGGUGUGGUGAUGUUAGGUAGUGUUGAAGACAAGAGGAGGUUAAAGUUUUUGGGUUAUAAGACCACGAAAAUGUCUCUCAUUUGUAAUUUGACUUUGAUUAAAAACUUGGGAGAAAAUUAUUUUCUUUUCACUUGAAAUGAUAGGAACAUUUUAGAAAAUUUCUGAUGCUUGACCCCAAAAGACCUCUCAUUCUCUUUCAGAUAAAGAAAAUACUACCCAACUAUGCCAAUUCUUAUAUUUUUCCUUCACACGUUUAUUUUUUCUUGGUAUUUUUCUAGAUGACAGUAAAUUGUCUGAUGCAGAAACUGACAGAUCACUUCAAAUAAAAGGCACUGAAUUAUGUGCUUUUAAAUAAAAUUCACAUCUAAGUCCUUUUGCAGCAUCAGACAGUACACCUUGUACAUUCCUUAAGAAUCUAGGCAAAGGCAUAUUUUUUAGGAUUUUAAUAACUCCAUAAAAAGUCACUGCAUGUGUCUCUCUGUUCUAUUGUAUUUCAAAUUUGGCAGAUUGCCUACAAAUUAAAGACGUCAAUAGUUUAAAUCAAAUAUUCUUUAAUAAAAUAAACUCAAUCUUACAUACAGAUACACAUUACAUACAAAUAGAGAAUUUACAGAUGCAAAUGAACUUGAGGCACUUAAAAACAUUUACUACAAUGUCUUGCAGAUUUUGAACUUGAAAAUUUUAUUUCACAGAGCUUUUAAAAACAUUCAUUGUGACCAACAUAUACUGAGCACCUAUGUUACAAACACCAAAUGAGCAUGUACAUAAAUUUUGUAUUGUCUGUGUGUUUCAGGUGGAAUGCCCAAGAAAGAACACAUAUACCCUAUGGGUGGAUAUGCAUGUUUAUGAGACAUCAAGGCCUCCCAACUCCAAAGUUACCAGAGCACAGGCUGUUGCAUAAUUUCAGAUGGCAUGGAGAGUCUCACUGAUGAAAUCCGAGAAGGCUCAUGUCAGACCACUGACUGCUAAAGACAUCACUACAUGAAAGAUCAGUGGUGUGAAACUUUAAAAACAUCGA